rnacentral:rRNA from 1 species
UACAGAGGGGGCCAGCGUUAUUCGGAAUUACUGGGCUUAAAGAGUUCGUAGGCGGCAUGACAAGUCGGGUGUGAAAGCCCCGGGCUCAACCUGGGAAUUGCAUUCGAGACUGCAUAGCUAGGGUGCGGAAGAGGGAAGCGGAAUUUCCGGUGUAGCGGUGAAAUGCGUAGAUAUCGGAAGGAACACCAGUGGCGAAAGCGGCUUCCUGGUCCAGCACCGACGUUCAGGCACGAAAGCGUGGGGAGCAAACAGG